rnacentral:rRNA from 1 species
CCUACGGGAGGCAGCAGUGGGGAAUAUUGGGCAAUGGGCGCAAGCCUGACCCAGCAACGCCGCGUGAAGGAAGAAGGCUUUCGGGUUGUAAACUUCUUUUGUCAGGGAAGAGUAGAAGACGGUACCUGACGAAUAAGCCACGGCUAACUACGUGCCAGCAGCCGCGGUAAUACGUAGGUGACAAGCGUUGUCCGGAUUUACUGGGUGUAAAGGGCGUGUAGCCGGGUUGACAAGUCAGAUGUGAAAUCCUGCGGCGUAACCGCAGAACUGCAUUUGAAAAUGUUGAUCUUGAGUACUGGAGAGGCAGAUGGAAUUCCUAGUGUAGCGGUGAAAUGCGUAGAUAUUAGGAGGAACACCAGUGGCGAAGGCGGUCUGCUGGACAGCAACUGACGGUGAGGCGCGAAAGCGUGGGGAGCAAACAGGAUUAGAUACCCCUGUAGUC